CGAAGGGUGCAAGCGUUAUCCGGAUUCAUUGGGUUUAAAGGGUGCGUAGGCGGGGCAAUAAGUCAGUGGUGAAAUCCUGCGGCUUAACCGUAGAAUUGCCAUUGAUACUGUUGCUCUUGAGUAGGCUCGACGUGGGCGGAAUGUGCCGUGUAGCGGUGAAAUGCUUAGAUAUGGCACAGAACACCGAUAGUGAAGACAGCUCACGAGGGCCAAACUGACGCUGAGGCACGAAAGCGUGGGGAUCGAACAGGAUUAGAUACCCUGGUAGUCCACGCCGUAAACGAUGAUCACUCGUCAUUAGCGAUAUACGGUUAGUGACCUAGCGAAAGCGUUAAGUGAUCCACCUGGGGAGUACGAUCGCAAGAUUG
rnacentral:rRNA from 1 species